rnacentral:rRNA from 1 species
CCUACGGGUGGCAGCAGUGAGGAAUAUUGGUCAAUGGACGGAAGUCUGAACCAGCCAUGCCGCGUGCAGGAAGACGGCUCUAUGAGUUGUAAACUGCUUUUGUACAAGGGUAAACCUGAAUACGUGUAUUCAGCUGAAAGUAAUGUACGAAUAAGGAUCGGCUAAAUCCGUGCCAGCAGCCGCGGUAAUACGGAGGAUCCAAGCGUUAUCCGGAUUUAUUGGGUUUAAAGGGUGCGUAGGCGGGUUGAUAAGUUAGAGGGUAAAUGUCCGAGCUUAACUCGGGAACUGCCUCUAAUACUGUUGACCUAGAGAGUGGAUGCGGUAGGCGGAAUGUAUGGUGUAGCGGUGAAAUGCUUAGAGAUCAUACAGAACACCGAUUGCGAAGGCAGCCUACCAAUCUAUAUCUGACGUUGAGGCACGAAAGCGUGGGGAGCAAACAGGAUUAGAUACCCUAGUAGUC